GAUGAACGCUGGCGGCGUGCCUAACACAUGCAAGUCGAACGGAGUCCAGCCUUUAAGACCUUCGGGUCAAAGAGGGGAAGACUGAGUGGCGGACGGGUGAGUAACACGUGGGCAACCUGGCUCAUAGAGGGGGAUAACAGAGAGAAAUUUCUGCUAAUACCGCAUAAGCACACACUGCCGCAUGGCAGAGGGUGAAAAGAGAAUCGCUAUGAGAUGGACCCGCGUCUGAUUAGCCAGUUGGCAGGGUAAGAGCCUACCAAAGCGACGAUCAGUAGCCGAUCUGAGAGGAUGAACGGCCACAUUGGGACUGAGACACGGCCCAAACUCCUACGGGAGGCAGCAGUGGGGGAUAUCGCACAAUGGGGGGAACCCUGAUGCAGCGACGCCGCGUGAGUGAAGAAGUAUUUCGGUAUGUAAAGCUCUAUCAGCAGGGAAGAUAAUGACAGUACCUGAAGAAGAAGCCCCGGCUAACUACGUG
rnacentral:rRNA from 1 species